AUUGAACGCUGGCGGCAGGCCUAACACAUGCAAGUCGAACGGAGUGGCGGACGGGUGAGUAAUGUCUGGGAAACUGCCUGAUGGAGGGGGAUAACGUCCGGAAACGGGCGCUAAUACCGCAUACUAUCAGAUGAGCCUAGGUCGGAUUAGCUAGUUGGUGGGGUAAAGGCCUACAAAGGCGACGAUACGUAACUGGUCUGAGAGGAUGAUCAGGCACACUGGAACUGAGACCCGGUCCAGACUCCUAAGGGUGGCAGCAGUGGGGAAUAUUGGACCAUGGGCGAAAGCCUGAUCCAGCCAUGCCGCGUGUGGGAAGAAGGGCUUCGGAUUGUAAAGCACUUGAAGUUGGGAGGCGUGACCAACAGAAUAAGCACCGGCUAACUUCGUGCCAGCAGCCGCGGUAAUAC
rnacentral:rRNA from 1 species